UAGCUCAGCUGGGAGAGCGCCUGCCUUGCACGCAGGAGGUCAGCGGUUCGAUC
rnacentral:tRNA from 1 species